UAGGAUUAGGAUUUGGUUUAGGAUUUAGAAUUUGGUUAGGAUUUGAUUUAGAAUUUAGAAUUUAGGGUUUAAUUAGGAUUUGAUUUAGGAUUUAGGAUUUGGUUUAAGAUUUAGGAUUUGAUUUAAGAUUUAAGGUUUGAUUAGGAUUUGAUCACAAUUUGAUUUAGGAUUUAGGAUUUGAUUAGGGUUUGAUUUAGGAUUUAGGAUUUGAUUUAAGUUUUAAGGUUUGAUUAGGAUUUGAUCACAAUUUGAUUUAGGAUUUAGGGUUUUAUUUGAGUUUUUUAGGAUUUAAGAUUUAUUUAGUUUUUGGCCUAAAGUUUGAAUGAAGUCCAAUAAGAUUUCAACUAGGAUUAAAUUAAGAUUGAAUUAACAUAUAUUUGAGAUAUAUUUAUAAUUAUUCUAAUAUUUUUUUAAGAUUGUUCAUGAACCUGUGCACCAAUCCAUUAACUUAAGUACCAUUGAAACACCAUAGGUUAUUAAGAUAUACAU
rnacentral:lncRNA from 1 species